CGGAGGGUGCAAGCGUUACCCGGAAUCACUGGGGCGUAAAGGGCGUGUAGGCGGAAUUUAAGUCUGGUUUUAAAGACCGGGGCUCAACCUCGGGGAUGGACUGGAUACUGGAUUUCUUGACCUCUGGAGAGGUAACUGGAAUUCCUGGUGUAGCGGUGGAAUGCGUAGAUACCAGGAGGAACACCAAUGGCGAAGGCAAGUUACUGGACAGAAGGUGACGCUGAGGCGCGAAGUGUGGGAGCAAACCGGAUU
rnacentral:rRNA from 1 species